GCAGAGGUGGCCGAGUUGGUCUAAGGCGUCGGUUUAAGGCACCGAUCUCUUCGGAGGCGCGGGUUCGAAUCCCGUCCUCUGCA
rfam:Guillardia theta CCMP2712 unplaced genomic scaffold GTITHscaffold_153, whole genome shotgun sequence.